CCUUCUAUCCCAGCUAUGUUUCCAGUGUCCUCUGGGUGUUUCCAAGAGCAACAAGAAACGAAUAAAUCUCUGCCAUAGGAGUUUUAGCCAAUUCAGAGGCCUUGCUGCCCACAAUUUGGAAAAUUCCUUUGGAUUUGACCAAGUCAGGAAGAGACGGGAGAAAAGUGAAACAACAACAAUAAAGCCCCAAGCAUAAACAGACAAAAAGAGUUAAGCAAAACAACAAAUGCACAAUUCAUAUGAUUACUGAGUGUUCUAAUGGUAAGGAGAAACUAAAAGCAGAAAUUAAAAGCAGCUGGUGAGUAAUCUUAAAUUUUAGUCAUUAAGGAAAAAUUUUAAGACAAAACUCUAAUUCAGCUACUUACCUGGAAACAAGGCUCAGGCUGGGGAUCGUUCUCUGCCAUCUUAGAAGCUGGAAACAACUUACACUCACCUUCCCUGUCAGAAGCAAGCUGAAACUCAGGAAAGGAGGUGCCUGCUCUCCAUCACCACAGAAGCAGGAAAACUUGCCUUCCUUGUUGGAAAUGAGUAAAACUUCAGAAAAGGAGUUGUACAGCAAAAUCAAACUUAGAUCUCAACCAGAUUUUGGGAGAUCAGGGACUCUUUGCAGGGGAGAAGCUCCACAACCUCAGCAAAUUAUCCUGUUGGUUUGGGCAAUAAAGAUAGCCCAGGUUGGUAGCAAUCAAUAAUGAGAUUUAUCAAAGGUCAGGACCACCUUUGUAAUGUCCUUCUCUGUCUUUUUUUAUCUUUAUUGGUAUAUACGUUUUGUCGAAACUGAGGGUGUAACACCUGAUUUCUUCUGUUUUCCAUUGGCUUGAAAGAUUUUUCACCAUUCCUUCAUUUUGAGCCUAUGUAUGGCACUGCAGGUGAGAUGGGUUUCUUGGAGACGGCAUACUCAAAUGGGUCUUGGUUCUUUAUCCAGCUUGCCCCCCUGUGUCUUUCAAUCGGAGCAUUUGGCCCAUUUCCAUUUAAGGUUAGUAAUGGUAUGUGUGGAUUAGAUCCUGUCGUCCUGCUGUCAGCUAGUUAUUUUGCAGACUUGUGUGUGUGGUUGGUUUUUAGCAUUACUGGUCUGUGUACUUCGGUGCAUUUUUGUAGUGGCUGGUGAUGGUCUUUUCUUUCCAUAUUUAGUGCUUCAUUCAGGAGCUCUUGUAGAUCUGGUGAUAAUGAAUUCUCUCAGCAUUUGCUUGUCUGAAAAGGAUCUUGUUUCUCCUUCACUUAUGAUGCUUAAUUUUGCUGGACAUGAAAUUCUGGGUUGAAAUUUCUUUUUCUUUUAACCAUUUAUAAUAACACCAUGUUAUUAUAUGGUAUAUCUGUCUCUGCCAUACUACGUGAAAUUUCUUUUCUUUAAGAAGUUGAAUAUCUUUUCUGGCUUGUAGGGUUUCAGCUGAGAAGUCUGCUAAGUCUGAUGGAAUUCCCUUUGCAGGUGACGUUGCCUUUCUCCCUGGCUGCCUUUAACAUUGUUUCUUUCAUUUUGACCUUGGAGAAUCUGAUGAUUAUAUGUCUUGGGGAUGAUCUUCUCGUGGCUUAUCUUACUGAGGUUCUCUGGAUUUCCUGAAUUGGAAUGUUGGCCUGUCUGGAUAGGUUGGGGAUAUUCUCAUGAAUGAUAUUCUGACGUAUGUUUUCCAAGUUGGUUCCAUUCUCCUCAUCUCUUUCACGUACACUAAUCAGUCAUAGAUUUUGUCGUUUAUAUAAUCUCAUAUUUCUUGGAUGUUUUGUUCAUUCAUUUUCCUUCUUUUUUCCCCCAUUCUUGUCUGCCUGUUUUAUUUCAGAAAGCCAGUUUUCAAGCUCUGGGAUUCUUUCCUCUGCUUGGUCUAUUCUGCUGGGUGGUCUUGCACAUGAGAUGGAGCUGGUGUGACCUCAGCCCUCCUUAGUCUGCUUGCCUCUCCCAGGACCCCAGCCUGGCCACACCUGCUUACAGGGCAAUCUCGGGUGCCCACAAACACUACAAUAAUUUUCAUAAUGCAAUCACACAUAAUCACUAUGUGACUGCAUUAUGAAAAUUCUUGUAGUGUGCUUUUCAGCUCUAUUAGGUCGGUUAUGUCUUCUUUAUACUUGCUAUUUUGUCUGUUAGCUCCUACAAUGUUUUACAAUGAUUUUUAGCUCUGUUGUAUUGCAUGACAACAUACUUCUUUCACUCAGUGAACUUUGUUCCUACGCAUAUCCUGAACCCUGCUUGUAUCAUUCCAGACAUCUCAGCCUCAGCCCAGUUCUGAACACUUGCUGGAGAGUUGAUACAGUCAUUUGGAGGAAAGAAGGCAUGCUGACUUUUUGAGUUUUCAGUGUUCUCACACAGAUUCUUUCUCAUCUUUAUGGGCUUAUCCACCUUCCAUCUUUGAGGUUGCUGACCUUCGGACAGGGUAUUUUUCUUUUAUUGUAUUUGAUGAUCUUGAGGGUUUCAUUGUGGGAUAAGGUGGAUUCAACCAACUGGCUUUGUUUUUGGAGGAUUUUAGGGGGGCCAAUGUGCAGCUCCCAAUUCCUGGACUUUGUGCUUUAACUCUGGGGAACUUGUCUUGAGCCCCAACUUUGUUCUCUGGCUCUUGGAGGUUUGGAGUCCACUGCACUGAGGGGACCAAAGUGUGUCAACUGUGGCAGAAUGCUAGUGGAUGCAAAAGUCCCUGCCUCCCUGCGGGCGUUCACCCAGUGGUGGAGGCAAGACAGCUGGGGUGUGGGCCAGGGGUCCCCUGCUGUGUGUGUGUUGCACUGGAGGUAGUGUUGGUUCAGGGUGGGCUGCUGGCCAGUGCAGGCCAUGGUGCCUUCUCUGUGCCCCUCAAAGCAACCGUGGUCACUCAGGUUAUAAGAAGGUCCCUUUUUCUCUGCACAGCAUUAGCUCAAGGGUUAGGUGCUGGCAGGGGUGGGGUUCUUGGUUCUGUGCCCACCAAGGCUCUGUCUUCAAUGGCAGUUGGUGUGGGUUGGGGUGUGUCCUGCACUCCCCUGUGCUGUCAGGGCAAGUACAGCAAAACCCACAUGUGUAAACACACACAGCAAAGUGAUGUAGGAAGUUUCCAUAUAAAGGGCUGCAGUACGGAGAGGUAAUGUGCAGGCUGGUGCGUGGCUGUUGGGGCCACCUUGCUGCAGCUCUCCACUGAUCAGGUACAGUCCACUAGCAUGGAAGCUAUGCUGUGGGCAUCCGAGAGUGCCCUGUAUGCAGGUGUGGCCAGGCUGGGGUCCUGGGAGAGGCAAGCAGACUAAGGAGUGCUGAUAUCAGACCAGCCCCAUCUCAUGUGCAAGACUGCCCAGCAGAGAUCAGGUCUCAGAGGAGAACUCUCUCAAAAGUGAACCCCCGGCACAGCAUAGCUGCUUUACACAAACAUGGCCAGGCUUCUGUUUUAAGCAAGUCCCCUUUUUGAAGAGGGGAACUCUGGGACCUGAUCUCUGCUGGGCAAUCUUGAACAUGAGAUGGGGCUGAUCUGAACUUAGCAUUCCUAAAGUGCUGGGAUAAAGUAUCUCACAAGGGCACGUGGAGCCUAGAGAGAUAGCUGUCCCUGCCCUCUGGGCUCCACAUCACCUGACUUGCUGCUCCACCACUCUGCUUGUCUCCUGGGUGCUCCAUCCCAUAGAGAUGUGAGUUAGCAAUCACUUAGCGUAAUCAGCCCAGGAUGGAGGGUCUGUAUUGUGAGGUCAAGCCAGUGUUCCCUCUCUGGUGAUGAGCAGUGGGGGGUGUGUGGUACCCGUGGGAGAUGGACUGGCUUGUUCAUUGGGUCAACCGCAGCUUAUUGGAGGUGUCAAUAUGGCACUUAGGGUCUUUGCUCCCUUGAUAUUCUGAGGGUAGAAAGGGCAGUUUCACUGCAGAGGCAAUGGAAGAGAGAAUUUCGUUUGCUCCUGGAAGCUCUGUCCAGGGAAUUGCUGAGUUGCUACUGGCUGGAUAGCUCUGAUGGUGGACUGGCUGGAGACCCAGGUCAGUAGGACCUGCCCAUCAAGUAGACUGUCUGGCCACUUUUCUGUCAGGCUGCUGUGGUAUGCUGGGGGUCCCCUCCAGUCCCUAAUUGCCUUGUAUUUUCCAGGGAAGAUGAUAGCCUGCCCCUUCCUCUGGGAGCUCUGUGCCACUGAGGUACGAACUUGUUGCCAGUAUGAACACACCUAUAAGAUGUGACUGGAGACAAGUUGAGAAGUCUUAUCUAGUCAGGAGGAACAAAAACAGGCACUGACUUAAAAAAAAAGUCUGGGCACGUUUUUCUAGAGCAGCUGUGCUAUGCCGGGUGUUCACUUCCACUCCUGGUUGCCUCAGACACUCUGAAGCCCUAAUGCUGAAAUGGCUGAGUUGCCCCAACAGCAAAGACAACAGUCUGGUCCUCCCCCUGGGAGCUCUGACUCAGGGAGGCCUGAAACCUCUGUCGGCCAGAGAACAGCAGUGAGGGCAGCUGGAGACCCUGGUUGAAAGCCUUCACCUGCUGAUUAGAAAUGUGGUCGGGGACUGACUUAAACAAGAGUCUGGCCACGUUUUUGUAGUGUGGCCGUGCUGCGCUGAGGUUCCUCUUCCACCCCUUGUCACCUUGGGCUUUCCAAAGCCCGCAAACCAGAACGGCUAGUCACCCAAACAGCAAAGGUGGUGGCCUGCCCCUCUCUCUGGGAGCUCUGUCCCGUGAACACUUCAAAUUUCUAUUGGCCAAGGAAUGCUGGUGGUGGUAGCUGGAGGCCCCAUUUGGGAGGUCCUGUACAGUGAUGUGCAACAAGGUCGGGGGCCUGCUUACAGAAGCAUUCUGGCCAUGAUUUGGUAAAGCAGCUAGCUGUGCUGUGGGAUCUCUUCUGCCCCUUGUCGGUUUAUACUCUCCAAAGCCCUCAGGCUGGAAUGACUAAGUUGCCUGAACAGGAAAGAUGGCGGCCUGCCCCAUCUAUUCUCUCAGAGUUCAUCUUGUUUGAUGGAGCUUAAUUUUUAGCCUGUUAAUUUUACUGUCUACAUUAGACUUGUUCGGAAAGAAUCUGCUAUAUUUUAGGUUAGAUAUAUGAGAAUUCAUUGUUUUCUGUAAAUAAACCUGUUCAUGUCUUGUUCUCUGGAAAGAAAUCUCUUUCAACUAUCUGACUUUGGUCACAGUCAUAUAGAGCAGUAGCCAGUCUAUAAUGACAUAAUUGAAUUUCCAUUUCCAGUGUUUUGUUUUUGUGUCUUACAUUGUACAGUUCAGAAAUGAGCAUUUUAUUCCCAAUUGUCAAAAAGCUAAGCUGUCCACUGUACUGAAAUACUGUUUUUGUUAAUGCUUCGUCAUUCAAUUUUUUAAAGGUGAACACUUUUAUCCAACUUUUCUCACGUCAGAGUACAGGUAAGCCCUGGCUGCCUUGAGCCACUCUCAGGGAGACCAAAACCCUUCAUACAUUACAAGUUGGGGUACAAAAAAGUGGGGCCAUGAAGGCUAGUCAUUCAAAAUAAAACAAAAUUUGAAAGUAUUAAGGCAAAGAUUUAAAAAAUUUUGCAUUAUGUAAUUUACACAAAAGCAAUGCUAUCGCCUACCAUGUGUGAACUCGGGAGAGGACUGGGCCAUUCUCCUUAGAGAGAAGUAGGGUGGCUUUUAGGAGGGCAAGGGGCUUCCUGAAACAAUGCAUCUCACAAUAUUUGGAAUGACUAUUGAAAAUAAGAACAUUGUACAAUCAAAGUCCUUGGCGACAUUGUAGAACUAGCGGGUGCUGACCCCUGAGCCACAACCACAGUUCUGGGUUUGGGGUUUGGUAAAACCACCCCAAGGACAGAGUUCUGGGGCCGGGUUUUGGAGGAACCAAGGCGCCUCCCAGGGAUGGUGUGUCACUCCUGCUUGCCAUGAAAUGUGCACACAGGCUGUCCCCCUGCCCAUCCCAUCCUGCUGGACAGGAUGGAGGAAGUGAGGGAACAGGCAGGGUGGACAGCUGGAAUUCAGGGAGAGGCAGGUGCAUGCUGGGAGGUCAGGACCUGUGAGGGCUGUGGGGGCAUCAGGUGGAGUGGGCUCCAGGUGCACCCUCAGUGCACAGGGCAAGUCUCAGGCCAGGCUCCCUGGACCCCGGCUGGGUGAUGUGGUCACUCCCUGGGGGACUGCUGUCAGACCCUGGCCACCCUCCCUGGGCAGCACCGUCCCAUCCCAGAACUGGACUUUCUGAGUCCUAAAACAGGACAGUGCUGCCCAGGCCUGACAGACUGGGAGGACCUGUGAAGUCCUCCAUCCCUAGACCAGCCUCCCAACAGCAGGGACAGUCUCCUACCUUUACCUUCAGGUAAAGGUACUGAUACAUCUCAUUCUAAGGCAACCAAGGCAGAGCUGAGGACCUGUGCCAGGCUGGGAGCCAGUCCUCUCCCUAAAUGGGCCUUAGGGAAGCCUCAUCCCUGUCCCAGUGCACUGCAAGUUUCAGCCCAGGAGACACAUAGGGAAGUGAGGAAGGGGCCUCCCCACUGGCUGACCCUGGAAAAGUGGGACCUGGGAGAAGAGGGAGUGCAGGGCUGGCAGGGGAUGCUCCAGGCCCAUGGAGAGCUCAGGCUGCACCAAGGGGCUGCCCCUCCUGGGCUGGAGGCUGUGCUCUCUACAGUAUCUGAGGAAGUCCAGUCCUGAGAUGGGACAGUGCUACCCAGGGUGGGUGGCCAGCACCUGACAACAGUCUCCCAGCAAGUGACCACAUCACCCGGCCAAGGUCCAGGGAGCCUGGGCCAAGACCUGCCCAGUGCGCUGAGGGUGCACCUGGAGCCCACACCACCUGACGCCCCCACAACCCUCAUAGGGUCUGACCUCCCAGCAUGCACCUGCCUCUCCCUGAAACCAAGCUGCCCAACCUGCCUGUUCCCUGGCCUCCUCCAUCCUGUGCAGACCAUAGACUGUGACUAUCUCUCCGACCACUCUGGCCCUUCCUUUACCUUUGUCCUGUCAGAAUCUCUGAGCAAGAUCUCCCAGGUCCAUCCAAACACCUGCUUUGUCCAGUUUUGACUGGGCCACUGAACACCACUGGGCCACCCCAGCUGUCCACAGGCUCCUCGAUAACAUGCAUUUCCCCUGACAUCUCCCAGCAGUACUCAGCAGCCCCCACUGACCAGGUCCCUGGUGACCAGAUCCAGCAUAUCACUUCCUCCCUGACCACACCCUCACUGAUUAGAGCCCCAUCACCAGGCCUCACUAACUAGAUUCCCGCUGCCAGGCCCACAAUGACCAGGACUCCACUGACGAGGACCUUACUGACAAGGCCUCACUGGCAAGGCCUCACUGACGAGGUCCUUACUGACAAGGCCUCACUGAUCAGGUUCCGCCGAUCAUGACCUCAUCGUCUGGUCCCACAGACGAAGCCCCACUGACCAGGCCUGCAGGGAAUAGGCAGCCAGUGACCAGGCCCCUGCUAACCAGGACUGAGGUGACAAGAUGCCCCUGACUGGGACCCUAAUGACUACGCCCCACUGAACAGGCACACACUGCUCAGAUCCCCGCUGACCAGGUCACCCCGUAGACCAGUGCUACAAAAGCCACCAAUGAUCAAGUCCUCUCUGACCAGGCCCCCACUGAUUAAGUUCCACGGACCAGCCUGCCCUGACCAGGGCCCCACUGACAAGCGUCUCUGCUGACUCGGUCCCAAGGUCUCCACUGACCAAGUCCCACAGCCCAGAUUGGCACUGACCAGACACCAAACAUUUGUCUACCACUAUCAACCCACUCACCAAGACAUACACUACUAGAUCCCUCUAAUGAGACCCGCUCUAAGCAGACCCCUGCUGACCACCCCCCACUAAAUAGGCCUCACUGACAAGUCCCAACUGACUAGGUCCACUGAGCAGGCCCACACUGAUCAGGCCCCUCCUAACCAUAUCAGAAGACCAAGAGGCAAUGAGAUGUUUCAUAUGGCAGGAGUAGGAGCAAGACAGAGAGGGGAAAGAGGUGUGACAUCCUGUUAGACAACCAGAUCACAUGAGAACUCACUAUCAGGAGAUCAGCAUCAAGAAGACUAACCAAUGGUGAAGGAUUCUCCAACCACACCACUGCCCACUGCUUCCAGGCAGAAGCCUCCUGCAGAGGCAGAACCUCUUAUGAAACUUCCACUAUGGCAGCGCAGAAAGAAAAUAUAGGCUUUGAGCCCCCACACAAGAGGCCACGAUCCUCCAGACUCCAGAUUAAUAAGCCCACCAACAGCUCACACUCUCAGUAUGGAAAAGCUACAGGCACUCAACACCAACCCAGCCCAUGAGAUCAGCCAUGGGGGCUACACCCUGCAAAGCCACAGGUGCACUCUCCUGGUAGAGGUUUCCCAUGAGCCUCUGCCUCUGCAGCAGGUUACUCCCACCUUCCCACCACCCUACUGACAACCUACUCCUCCCCACACUAUCCCUCCUUUUCCUUCCACCCCAACCCCCUCCCAUCCAAGAUUAAGUCACCUCCCACCUGGCCCACCUCCAACAUUAAGGAUGACAUGUGAGUUUUAUAGGGACACACAGCCAACUCAUAUUAUUCUGACCCUGAUUCCCCAGAACCUCAUGUCCUUCUCACAGAGCAAAACACAAUCAUGCCUUUUCAAAAGUUUCUAAAAGUCUUAACUCAUUCCGAAUGUAAAAAUUUCAAAAUCUCAUCUGAGACAAGGUUACAGUCCCUUCUGCCAAUGAGUCCCUGAAUUUAAAAGGGAUUUCUUUUCCUUCAAGGUAGAACAGGUAUUGGAUAAGGUUUCUCAAUCCAAAGGGAAGAAGUUGCCCAGAAAAAUAACACAAAUGCAAGUCCAAAACCCAGCAAGACAGUAUUCACUCAAUCUCACAGCUCCAAAAUCAUCAAGAGAACUCACUGUCGUGCGGACAGCAUUAAGGAGAUAGAGUUUACUCAUUUGUGAAGAAUCUGCCCCCCACCCUCACCUUUCACUCCCUCCCACAAAAUAAUCUCUCCCAUUCUCCCCACACCCCUACCUCCAACACCCACUCUUCUCCAUGAUUAAAUCACCUCCCACCAGGUCCCACCUUUAACAUUCCCCACUACAAUUCCACAUGAACAUUGGUAGGGACACAGAAUCAAAUCAUAUUAUUCUGGCUCUUGCUCCCCAAAUCUUGUAUCCUUGUCACACUGCAAAAUACACUGAUGAUUUCUCUACUGUCCCCCAAUGACUUAACUCAUUCCAGCAUUUACUGAAAUGUACAAAGACUUACAGACCCCAUGCAAGUCAAAAACCCAGCAGGCCAGUCAUUGAAUCCUACAGCUCCAAAUCAUCUUUUCUGAAUCUACAUCUCACAUCUAGAGCACAGGUGUGUGAUGCCUGGGCUUCCAAGGCCUUGGGUAGCUCUGCACCUGUGGCUGUGCAGGGUCUAUACCCCACAGCUGCCCUCAUGGGCUGGGCUGAUGUUGAGUGCCUGUAGCAUUUCCAUACUAAGGGUGCCAGCUGUUGGUGAGUCUAUGAAUCUGGAGUCUGGAGAACGGUGCCUCCAUAUUUAGGGACUCCAGCCCUAAAUUCUCCUUCUGUACUGCCCUAGUAAAAGUUUCCCAUGAGGCUCUGCCUCUUGGAAAAGAUUCUGUGUGAACACCCAGGUUCUUCCGUGCAUACUCUGGAGUCUAGACAAAGGCUUGCAAGCGUCUAGUUUUGUGCUGUGUGCAGCUGCUGGCUUAACACUAUGUGGAAACCACCAAGCCUUGGAGCUUGCACCCCUGAAGCAGUGAUGCAAGCAGUACCUGUGCAUCUUUCAGCCAAGGCUGGAGCUGGAGCUUCAGGAAUGCAGCCAGCAGUGUCCUGAGGUUGGACAUAGCAGUGGGGCCAUGGGGCUGGAGAAGGAAACCAUUCUUUUCUCCCAGGCCUCAGGGCCUGUGAUAGCAAGGGCUGCUGCAAAAGUCUCUGAAAUGCCUUCAAGACCUUUUUAAUAUUGUAUUGGCUAUUAGCACUGAACUCCUUUUUAUGCACAUUUCUGAAGACUUUUUGAACUUUCCCACUGAUAAUCAGCUUUUCUUUUUGGCCACUUGGCCAGGCUUCAAAUUAUCCAAACUUUUAAGCUCUCCUUCUCAUUUAAAUACAAGUUUCACCUUGAGGUCAUUUCUUUGGUCACAUAUAGGACCACAGGCUGUUCGACACAGACAGGAAACCUCUUAAGCUUUGCUGCCUAAAAUUUCAUUCCACCAAAUACACUCUAAAUUAUCACCCUGAUGUUCAAAAUUUCACAGGUCUCCAGGUUAGGGGCAUCGUGCAGCAACAUUCUUUGCUAAGGAAAAAACAAAAGUGACCUUGACUCCUGUUCCCAGCAAGCUCCUCAUUUUCAUGUGAGACCUUCUAAGCCUGGUGAUCACUGUCCAUCCUUCUGUCACCUUUUUAAUUAUAACUAUUUAACAAGUCUCUACACUGAUCCAAACUUUUCCUCAUCUUCCUGUCUUCUUCCAAGACCUCCAAACUCUCCAACCUCUGGCCAUUACACACUUCUCAACCUGCUUCUACAUUUUCAGCUACGUUUGUCACAGCCUGGCAAUGUGGUAAAAGAAGAAAAGUCCAUUUCAGGAGAAAAAUUAACGCAGGCUUCAGACAUUUGCCUGAAAAGAAGCUGAGUGCUGAUUGCCAAGAGAAUAGGAAAAAGGCCUUGAAGGCAUUUCAUAGUUCCACUUUAUGGCAUUAUUUUUCUGUAUAAUCAGAAAGAAAAGAGGUUGAACUGGCUCAUGGUUCUGCAAGCUUUAAAUAAAUCAUAGAGGCUUCUGCUUCUGGGAGGACUCAGGAAGCCUCCCAAUCAUACCAGAAGACCAAGCAGCAAUGGGAUGUUUUAUAUGGCAGAAGUAGAAACAAAACAGAGAGAGGAAAAAGGUGCCACACGUUGUAUAACCCUGUUAUACAACCAGAUUUCCUGAGAACUCACUAUCACAAGGUCAGUAUCAAGAAGAUGUUGCUUAAUCAUUGGUGAAAGUUCUGCCCCCUACCACCCACACCCCUCACUGUUUCCAGGCAGAAGCCUGAGGAAGAGGCAGAGCCACUAGGAAAACCUCUAAUAGGGCAGAGCAGAAAAAGUAUAUGGGCUUGGAGGCCCCACACAGGAGGUUACCAUCCUCAGACCCCAGAUUCAUAGACUCACCAACAGCUUGCACUCUCAGUAUGGAAAAGCUACAGCCACUCAAUAACAGCCCAGCCUAUGAGGUCAGCCAUGGGGGCUACACCCAGCAAAGCCAUAGGUGCACUGCCCUGGUGGAGGUUUUCCUUGAGGCUUUGCCUCUGCAGCAGGCUACUCCCCCUUAAUACUGCCCACGAACCUCUCACCACCCUACUGCCAGCCUACUCCUCCCCAUCCUACCCAUUUGUUUUCCCUUCCACCCCUACCAACCUCCCGUUUGUGAUUAAAUCACCUCCCAGCAGGCCCAACCUACAACUGUCAGGAAUACAAUUCCCCAUGAGUUUUUGUAGGGAAACACAGCCAAACCAUAUUAUCCUGACCCUGACACCCCCACAUCUCAUGUCCUUCUCACACAGAAAAAUACAAACAUGCCUUUUCAAAAGUUUCAAAAAGUCUUAACUCAUUCCAGCAGUAACUCAAAUGUAGUAAGUUCAAGUCUCAUCCAAGACAAGGCUACAAUCCCUUCUGCCUAUGAGUCCCUGAAUGUAAAAGACAAUUCUUUUCUUUCAAGUUACAAUGAUGGCACAGGCACUGGGUAGGCUUUCUUAAACCAAAGGGAAGGGUUUCCUAGAAAAAUAACACAAAUGGGACACAGGCCCAAUCCGACUCCAAAACCCAGCAGGACAGCAUUCAUUUAUCACAAGAACUCACUGUCACACAGACUGCAUUAAGGAGAUAGUAUUUAACCAUUUGUGAAGGAUCUGACACCCAUCCCCAUGUUUCACCCUCACCCACACCAUGAACCUCCAUUCUCCCACAUCCCCCUUCCAACCCCCAUUCUCUACCAUGAUUAAAUCACCUUCUACCAAGCCCCACACUUAACAUUCCCCAUUAUAAUUCCACAUGAGUUUUGGUAGGGACACAGAGCCAAAUCGUAUUAUUCUCCCUUUGGCCCCCCAAUCUCACAUCCUUCUCAUACUGCAAAAUACAAUGAUGCAUUCUCUACAGUCCCCCAAUGUCUGAACUCAUUCCAGCAUUUACUCAAAUGUCCAUUUGUGAAGGAUCUACCCCCUACCCCUGCCUUUCACCCCAACCCCACCACAAUCGCCCCCAACCCUCCCCACCCCUUAAUCCCCCCAACCCUCCCCACCCCCCAACCAUCUAACCUCCACUCUUCAACAUGAUUAACUCACCUUCCACCAGCCCCCACCUUUAACAUUUCCCAUUAAAAUUCUACAUGAGUUUUGGUAGAGACAGAGCCAAAACAUAUUAUUCUGUCCCUGGUCCCCCAAAGUUCAUGUCUUUCUCACAUUGCAAAAUGCAAUGAGGCCUUCCCUAGAGUCCCCCAAAUCUUAACUCAUCCCAGCAUUUACUCAAAUGUCCAAAGGCCAAAGUCUCCUCUGAGACAAGGCUGCCAUAUCUUCUGGCCUGAGCCUCUGAAAUACAAAGCAAGUUAACCACUUCCAAGUUACAAUGAUUGUACAGGCAUUGGGUAAGCAUUCCAAGCCAAAUAGAAGAAAUUUCCCAGAAAGAAGCACAAAACACAGAUGGGACUUACACACCCCCUGCAAGUCAAAAACCCAGCAGGCCAGGCAUUCCAUCAUACAGCUUCAAAUCAUCUUUUUGGAAUCUAUGUCCACAUCCAGAGCACAGGGUUUUGUGAUGGCUGGGAUCCCAAGGCCUUGGGCAGCUCUGCACAUGUGGCAUUGCAGAAUCUCCCCCCUACAGCUGCCGUCAUUGGCUAGGCUGGUGUUGAGUGCCUGUAGCUUUUCAACACUAAGGGUGCAAGCAGCUGGUGGGUCUAUGAUACUGGGGUCUGGAAAAUGGUGCCUCCCUGUAUGGGGACUCCAACCCUAUAUUUUCCUUUUGUACUGCCCGAGUAGAGGUUUACCAUGAGGCUCUGCCUCUUGGAAAAGCUUCUGGCUAGACACUCAGGAUUUCUGAUAUAUACUCUGGAGUCCAGACCAAGGCUCUGAAGCUUCUAGUCCUGUGCUUUAUGCACCUGCUGGCUUAACACUAUGUGGAAGCCACCAAGGCUUGGAGCUUGCAUCCUCUGAAGCAGUGACGCAAGCUGUACCUGUGCAUCUUUCAUCUAUGGCUGGGGCUGGAAAAGGAGCUGCAAGGAUGCAGGCAGCAGUGUCCUGAGGCUGCACACAGCAGUGGAGCCAUGGGGCUGGGCCAGGAAACUAUUCUUUUCUCCUAAACCCCAGGGCCAGUGACAGCAAGGGCUGCUACAAAGAUCUCUGAAACGCCUUCAAGGCCUUUUUCCCAUUGUCUUGAAUUAUUAGCACUGGGCUCCUUUUUAUGCAAAUAUCCGAAGGCUUCUUGAUUUUCCCCCUGAAAAUCAGCUUUUCUUUUUGACCAUUUGUCCAGAUUACAAAUUUUCCAAAUGUUGAAGCUCUGCUUCUCAUUUAAAUAUAAGUUCCAACUUAUGGUAAUUUCUUUCAUCACACAUAGGAGCACAGGCUGUUCGACGUAGGCCGGACAACCCUUCAGCUUUGCUGCUUAGAAGUUCAUUCCACCAGAUACACCCUAAAUCAUCACCCUAAAGUUCAGUUUCACAGAUCUCCAGGGAAUGGUCACUGUGUAGCCAAUUACUUUGCUAAGGCAAAAGAAAAAAACCUUGACUCCUUUUCCCAGUAAGUUCCUCAUCUUCAUCUGAGACCUUACAAGCCUGGCCUUCAGUGUCCAUCCUUCUGUCAGCCUUUUAAUCAUAACUAUUUAACAAGUCUCUGCAAUGGUCCAAACUUUCCCUCAUCUUGCUAUCUUCUUCCAAGCUCUCCAAACUCUCUAACCUCUGGCCAUUACCCAAUUUGGAACCUGCUUCUACACUGUCAGCUAUCUUUGUUGCAGCCUGGCAAUAUGGUAAAAGAAGAAAAGUCCAUUAUCAGGGGAAACAUCAAGAUGGCCUCCAAUAUUUGCAUUGAAAAAAGCUCAGUGCUAAUAGCCAAGAGAAUGGGGGAAACGCCUAGAAGUCAUUUCAUAACUUCACUUCACAGCAUUAAUUUUCUGUAUCUACAUAAAGAAAAGAGGUCUAAUUGACUCACAGUUCUUCAGGCUGUAAAGAAAGCAUAGUGGUUUCUGCUUGUAGGAGGACUCAGAAAGCCUCCCAAUUAUACCAGAAGGCCAAGCGGCAAUGAAAUAUUUCAUAUGGCAGGAGUAGAAGCAAGACAGAGAGAGGAAAGAGGUGAGACAACCUGUUAUACAACUAGAUCUCAUGAGAGCUCACUAUCAGGAGAUCAGCAUCAAGAAGAUUGUGCUUAACUGUUGGUGAAGGAUCUGCCCACCUCCCCAUAUCCACCACCCACUGUUUCCAAGCAGAAGCCUGAGGCAGAGACAGAUCCCCUUGGAAAACCUCUACUAGGGCAGUACAGAAGGAAAAUAUGGGCUUGGAGCCCCCACGCCUCCAUCCUCCAGACCCAAGAGUCAUGGACUUACCAACAGCUCACACCCCCAGUAUGGAAAAGCUUCAGGUACUCAACACCAGCCCAGCCCAUGAGAGCAGCAGCAGGUGCUAAACCCUGCAAAGCCACAGGUGCAAAACCACAGGUGCACUGCCUUAGUAGAGGUUUUCCAUGAGCCUCUGCCUCUGUGGCAGUCUACUCCCUUCCUGCUACACACCACCCUACAGCCAGCCUACUCCUCCCCACCUUACCCACCUGUUUUUACUUCCAACCCCACCCCUCUCCCAUCCAUGAAUAAGUCACCUCUCACCAGGCCCCACCUGCAACAUUCGGGAUUACAAUUACAUGUGAGUUUAGGUAGGGACACACAGCUAAACCAUAUUAUUCUGACCCUGAUCCCCCAAAUAUCCUAUCCUUCUCACAGAGUAAAAUAUAAUCAUGUCUUUUCAAAAGUUGCCAAAAGUCUUAAGUCAUUUCAGCAUUAACUCGAAUGUAAAAAGUUCCACGUCUCACCUGAGAAAAGGCUACAGUCCCUUUUGCCUAUAAGUCCCUGAAUUUAAAAGGGAGUUCUUUUCUUUCAAGGUACAAUGAUGGUACAGGCAUUGGGUAAGUUUUCUCAAUCCAAAGGGUAGGGGUUUGCCAGGAAAAUAACACAAAUGGAAUUACAGGGCCAAUGCAAGUCCAAAACCCAGGAGACAAGUAUCCAUUAAAUCUCACAGCUCCAAAACCGUCACGAGAACUCACUAUCAUGAGGAAAGGAUUAAGGAGAUGCUGUUUAACUAUUUGUGAGGGAUCAUACCCCCACCCCCACUUUUCACCCCUCACCGCCAGCAUAAUCCACCCAUCCUCCCCAAUCUCCAUCUUGCAACACCCAGUGCCCUCCAUGAUUAAAUCACCUUCCACCUGGCCCCAAUUUUAACAUUUCUGAUUACAAUUCCACAUGAGUUUCCAUAGCGACACACAGCCGAAUCUUAUUAUUCUGUCCCUGCCUCCCCAAAUCUCAUGUCCUUCUCACUUUGCAAAAUACAGUGAUGCCUUACUUACAAUUCCCCAAGCCACUAUGCUUUUUUUUACAGCCUGCAGAACCAUCAGCCGAUUAAACCCCUUUUUGUUAUGAUCAUACAGAAAAUUAGUACUGUGAAGUGAAGCUAUGAAACGCCUUCAAUGACUUUUCCCCAUCGUCUUGGCUAAGACCUCCAAGGUCUUAACUCAUUCCAGCAUUUACUUCAAUGUCUGAAGCCCAAAGUCUCAUCUGAGACAAAGAUGCAGUCCCUUCUGUUCCUGAGCCUCUGAAAUACAAAGAAAGUUAACUAUUUCCAAGGUAUGAUUGUCCAGGCAUUGAGUAAGAAUUCCCACCCUAAAGGAAGAUUUUUGCCAGAGAGAACAACGAAACACAAACGGGACUUACAGGUCCCAGGAAAAUCCAAAACCCAGCAGGCCAGUUACUCAAACUUACAGCUCCAAAGUCAUCCUUUUUUAAUCCUUGUCCCACAUCCAGGGCACAAGGGCAUGAGGGCUGGACUCCCAAGGCCUUGGGCAGAUCUGCACCUGUGUCUUUGCAGUUUUCAGUCCCCACAGCUGUCCUCAUGGCCUGUGCUGGUGUUGAGUGCCUGUAGUUUUUACGCACAGAGUGUACAAAGCUCUUGGUGGGUCUAUGAAUCUGGGGUCUGCAUAUGGUGGCCUCCAGUGUGGGGGCUCCAACCCCAUAUUUUCCUUCUGCACUGCCCUAGUAGAGGUUUCCCAGGAGGCUCUGCUUUUUUGGCAGCCUUCUGUCUGGACACUCAGACAUUUUCAUACAUCUUCCAAAAUCUAUAUGAAUACUCUGAAGCCUCUGGGCUGGUGCUCUAUGGACUUGCUGGCUUAAGACUAUGUGGAAGCCGUGAAGCCUUAUAGCUUGUACCCUCUGAAGCAGUGAUGCAAUCUGUACCUGUGCAUCUUUCAGCCAAGGUCGGAGCAGGAGCUGCGGCUGCUGGGAUGCAGGCAGCAGUGUCCUGAGGCUGCAUACAGCAGCAGGGCCAUGGGGCUGGCCCCAGAAACCAUUCUUCUCUCCUAGGCCCCAGGGUCUGUGACACCAAGGGCUGCUGCAACCAUCUCUGAAAUGCCUCCAAGGCUUUUCCCCCCCAUUGUCUUGGCUAUUAGCACUGGCCUCCAUUUUAUGCAAAUUUCUGGAGCCUUCAUGAAUUUUCCCCCUGAAAAUCAGCUUUUCUUUUUGACCACUUGGCCAGGCUGCAAAUGGUUCUAAACUUUUGAUCUCUGCUUGUCAUUUAAAUAUAAGUUCCAACUUGAGGUCAUUUCCUCAGUCACACAUAACCUUGGUCACACAAGAACACGGGCUGUUUGAUGCAGACAGGAUUCCCCUUGUGCUAUGCUGCCUAGAAGUUCAUUCCACCAGAUAUGCACUAAAUCAUCACCCUCAAGUUCAAAGUUUCACAGAUCUCGAGGGCAAGGUCGCCCUGCAGCCAUGUUCUUUGCUACAGCAAAACAAAAGUAACCUUGGCUCCUGUUCCCAGUAAUUUCCUCAUUUUCAUCUGAGACCUUGUAAGCCUGGCCUUCACUGUCCAUCCUUCUGCCAGCCUUUUAAUCACAACUAUUCAACAAGUGCCUACGAUGGUCCAAAAUUUCUUUCAUCUUCCUGUCUUCUUUCAAGCUCUCCAAACUCUCCAACCUCUGGCUGUUACCCACUUCUGAACCUGCUUUACGUUUUCAGCUAUCUUUGUUGCAGCCUGACAAUGUAGAAGAAAAAGAAGUCCAUUUUCAGGGGGAAACUUCAAGAAGGCUUCAGAUAUUUGCAUUAAAAAGAAGUCCAGUGCUAAUAGCCAAGACGAUGGGGAAAUGUCAUUGAAGAUAUUUCAUAGCUCCACUUCGCAGUACUUUAUUUUCUGUAUGAUCAUAAUGAAAAGGGGUUUAAUUGGUUCAUGGUUCUGCAGGCUGUAAAGAAAGCAUAGUGGCUUCUGCUUCUGGGAGGACUCAGGAAGACUCCCAAUCAUACCAAUAGGAAAACAGCAAUGAAAUAUUUCAUAUGGCAGGAGUAGGAGCAAGGCUGAGAGAGGAAAGAGGUGCCACUCUGUUAUAUAACCAGAUCUCAUGAGAACUCACUAUCACUAGGUCAGCAUCAAGAAGAUGGUGCUUAACCAUUGGUGAAGGAUCCACCCCCCAACACAGCUCCACCUCCUAGUGUUCCAGACAGAAGCCUGCUGCAGAGGCAGAGGCUCUUGGGAAUCCUGUACUAUGGCAGUGCAGAAGGAAAAUAAGGGCUUUGACUGACUAUGCAGGAGGCCACCAUCCUCGAGACCCCAGAUUCAUAGACCUACCAACAGUUCACACCCUCAGUAUGGAAAAGUGAUAGGCUCUCAACACCAGCCCAGCCCAUGAGAGCAGCCAUGGAGGCUAAAGCCUGCAAAGCCACAGGUGCACUGCCCUGGUAGAAGUUUUCCAUGAGCCUUGGCCUCUGCAGCAGGCUACUCCCCCUUCCUACUAUCCAUCACCCUCCCACCGCCCUACAGCCAGCCUAUUCUUCCCCACCCUACCCACCCCUUUUUUCUUCCAGCCCUACCCCUCCCAUCCAUGAUUAAAUAAUCUCCCACCAGGCCCCAUCUCCAAAAUUUGGGAUUACAAUUCCACAUGAGUUUUUCCAGGGGCACACAGCCAAAUCAUAUUAUGCUGACCUUGACCCCCCAAGUAUCAUAUCCUUUUCACAGAAUAAAAUACAAUCAUGCCUUUUCAAAGGUUUCCAAAAGGCUUAACUCCUUCCUGCAUUAACUCAAAUGUAAAAAGUUCCAAGUCUCAUCUGAGACAAGGCUACAGUCUCUUCUGCCUAUGAGUCCCUGAAGUUAAAAGGGUGUUUGUUUCUUUCAAGGUACAAUGAUGGUACAGGUACUGGGUAAACUUUCUCAAUCCAAAGGGAAGAAAUUUCCAAGAAAAAUAACACAAAUGGGACCACAGGCCCAAUGGACAUCCAAAAUCCAGUAUGUCAGUUUUCAUUCAAUCUCACAGCUCCAAAAUCAUGAAGAGAACUCACUAUCAGAAGGACAGCAUUAAGGAGAUGAUGUUUAACCAUUUGUGAAGGAUCCACCCCCACCCCUGCCUUUCACCCCCAACCCCACCACAAUCUCCUCCAACCCUCCCCACCCCCGAUUCCCUCCAACCCUCUCCACCCCAGAAUCCCCCCCACCCUCCCGGUGCCCCCAACCAUCCAACCUCCACUCUCCACCAUGAUUAAAUCACCUUCCAUCAGCCCCCACCUUUAACAUUUUGCAUUAACAUUCCACAUGAGCUUUGGUAGAGACAGAGAGCCAAAACCUAUUAUUCUGUCUCUGGUCCCCCAAAGUUCAUGUCUUUCUCACAUUGCAAAAUGUAAUGAUGCUUUCCCUAGAGUCUCUCAAAUCUUAACUCAUUCCAGCAUUUACUCAAAUGCACAAAGCCCAGAGUCUUAUCUGAGACAAGUCUACAGUCCCUCCUGCCCAUGAGCCAGUGAAUUAUAAAGCAAGUUUACUACUUCCAAGGUACAAUGAUUGUACAGGCAGUGGGUGACUCAUAGGAUACAUAAGUGUCCAAAACCCAGCAGGCCAGUCACUUAAUGCUACAGCUCCAAAAUCGCCAUUUUUGAAUCCUUGUCCCAUAUCCAUGGCACAGGGCUGUGAGGGCUGAGCUCCCAAGGCCUUGGGCAGAUCUGCACCUGUGGCUUUGCAGCGUUCAGCCUCCGCGGCUGUCUCUCAUGGACAGGGCUGUUGUUGAGUGCCCAUAGCUUUUCCACACUGAGGGUGCAAGCUGUUUAUGGGUCUAUGAAUCUGGGGUUUAGAGAAUGAUGCCUCCCUGUGUGGGGGCUUCAACCCUAUAGGUCCCUUCUUUGCUCCUCUAGUAGAGGUUCCCCAUGAAGCUCUGCCUCUUGGAAAAGCUUCUUCCUGAACAUCCAGGAUUUUCUGUGCAUCUUCUGGAGUCUAGACAGGAGUUCCCAAGCCUCUAAUCUCUUUCUCUGUGCACCUACUGGCUUAACACUAUAUGGAAACCAUCAAGACUUUGAGCCACCUCUGAAGCAAUGACCCAAGCUGUACCUGUGCAUCUUUCAGCCAUGGCUGGUGCUGGAGCUGCACGGAUGCCGGCAGCAGUGUCCUGCGGUUGAGCACAGCAGCAGAGCCAUGGGACUGGCCUAGGAAACCAUUCUUUUCUCCUAGGCCCCAGGGCCUGUGACAGCAAGGGCUGCUGCAGACAUCUCUAAAAUGCUUUCAAGGCUGGUUUCCCACUGUCUUGGCUUUUUGCACUGGGUUCCUUUUUAUACAAAUACCCUAAGCCUUCUUGAAUUUUCCCCCUCAAAAUCGGCUUUUCUUUUUGACCACUUAGCCAGGCUCCAAAUUUUCCAAACUUUAGAUCUCCACUUGAAGUUCCAACUUGAAGUCACUUCUUAGGUCACCCAUAAGAACACAAGCUGUUCAAUGUAGGCAGGACACCUCUUGUGCUAUGCUGCCUAGAUGUUCAUUUCACCAGAUACAUCCUAAAUCAUCACCCCCAAGUUCAUAGUUUCACAGAUCUCCAGGGCAGGGUCCCCAUGCAGCCAGCUUCUUUGCUAAGGCCAAUCAAAUGUAAUCUUGUCUCUUGUUCAUAGGAAAUUCCUCAUUUUCAUCUGAGAACUUUUAGUUCUGGACUUCAGUGUUUACACUUUUGUCAGCCUUCCUAUCACAAGUAUUUAACAAUUCUCUAUAGUGGUCCAAUAUUUUCCUCAUCUUGCUGUCUUCUAAGCUUUCCCAACUCUUCUGACCUCUGUCUUUUACCCACUUCUGAACCUGGUUCUACAUUGUCAGCUAUCUUUAUCACAGCCUGGCAAUGUGGUAAAACAGAAAAGUCCAUUUUCAGGAGGAAAGUUCAUGAAGGAUUCAGAUAUUUGCAUGAAAAGAAGCUGAGUGCUGGUUGCCAAGACAAAGGGGAAAGGGCCUUGAAGGCAUUUCAUGGCUCCACUUCAUAGUACUAAUUUUCUGCAUGAUCAUAAAGAAAAGAGGUUUAAUUGGCUCAUGGUCCAGCAGGCUGUAAAAGAAGCACAGUGGCUUCUGCUUCUGGGAGGAUCAGAUCAGGAAGCCUUCCAAUCAUACCAGAAGGCCAAGGAGCAAUGAGAUGUUUCAAAUGGCAGGGGUAGAAGAAAUACUGAGAGAGGAAAGAGGUGCCACCCCCUGUUAUAUAACCAGAUCUCAUGAGAACACACUAUCAUGAAGACAGCAUCAAGAAGAUGUUGCCUAACCAUUGGUGAAGGAUCUGCCUCCCACCCGCAACUCCCACUGUUUCCAGGCAGAAGCCUGCUGCAGAUGAAGCAUUCUUGGGAAACCUCUACUAGGGCAGUGCAGAAAGAAAAUAUGGACUUGGAGCCCCCAUGCAGGAGGCCACCACCCUCCAGACCCCAGAUACAUAGACCCACCAACAGCUUUCACCCUCCGUGUGGAAAAGCUACAGGCACUCAACACUAGUCCAGUCCAUGAGAGCAGCCAUUGGGGCUCAAACCUGCAAAGCCACAGGUGCUCUUCCCUAGUAGGGAUUUUCCAUGAGGCUCUGCCUCUGCAGCAGUCUACUACCCCUUCCUACUACCCACCACCCUCCCACCACCGUACAGCCAGUCUACUCCCUCCCACCCUACCCACCCCUUUUUCCCUUCCACAUCCACCCCCACCCAUCCAUGAUUAAAUCACUCCCUCCCACUCCCUGUCAUAAUCUAAUCCCUCCAAACCCUUCCAAUCUUUGUUUGCUACCCACUACUGAGCCUGCUUCUACUUUUUCAGAAAUCUGUAUAGCAGGUUGGCUAUGUAGCAAUAACAAAAAUCCCAUUUAAGGGGAAACAUUCAAGAAGAUUUCAAAAAUUUGCAUAUAAAGAAGCCCUGUGCUAAUAGCCAAAACAAAGGGAAAAAGGCCUUGAAGGCAUUUCACAGCUCCUCUCUGCAGUUCUACUUUUCUGUAUUAUUGUAAAUAAAAGAGGUGUAAUUGACUCAUGGUUCUGCAAGCUGUGAAGGAAGUAUAGUGUCUUCUGUUUCUGGGAGGAAUCAGGAAGCCUCCUCAUUAUAUCAGAAAGCCAAGUGACAAUGAGAUGUCUCCUAAAGCAGGAGCAGGAGGAUGAGAUCUGUUAAACAACCAGAUCUCAUGGGAACUCACUCAUUAUCAGGAGGAUAGCAUCAAGGUGAUGGUUCUUUAUCAUUUGUGAAGUAUCUACCUGCACCAUUUUAUGACUAAAUCUUUUUCCACCUAGACCUUGCCUGUAACAUUACAAAAUAUAAUUCCACAUGAGUUUUGGUAGGGACAUUGACAAAAACCGUAUUAUUCUGUCCUUGACCCGAUGAAUCUCAUGUCCUUCUCACAUUGCAAAAUACAAACAUGUCUUGCCAGCAGUCUCCCAAAGUCUUAACUCAUUUCAGGAUUAACUCAAAGUUACAAAGUCCAAAGUCUCAUCUGGGUCAAGGCUACAGUCUCUUUUGCCUAUGAGUCUCUGAAAUAAAAAGCAGGCAUUGUGUAAGCUUUCCAUAUCCAAAAGGAAGACAUUUUCCAGAAAGCUUCUUAUUUCUCUCUAAGACCUCCUCAGCCUGGCCUUCACUGUUCAUGUUUCUGUCAGGAUUUUUGUCACAACCAUUGAACCAGACUCUAAGAUAGUCCAAAAGUUUUCUCAUCUGUCUUCUUUUGAGCCCUACAAAGUCUUCCACCCUCCGUCCAUUACCUGGUUCCAAAGCUGCUUCCACAUUUCCAAGUAUCUUUAAAGCAACGCUCCAGUCCUCAUUUGCCAUUUUCUGUAUGAUUUAUUUUGAAAAAGAGGUUUAAUUGGCUCAUGGUUCUAAGCACAGUGCUUCUGCUUCUAGGCCUCAGAAAUCUUUCAAUAAUCAUGGAAGGCGAAGAAAGAAUCAAUUGUCUCACAUGGCAAGGGGAAAACACGGAGAGUGGGGAGGUGAUAUAGAGAUUUCAGUGACUACAUCUCAUGAGAAGUCACUCAUUAUUGUGAGGAUGGUACAAGGGGAGGGUGCUGAACCAUUCAUGAGAAAUUUGCCUUCAUAAUUCAAUCACCUUAUACCAGGAUCCACCUUCCACAUUAGGAAAUAUAAUUCAACAUGAGAUUCGGUGGGGACACAUAUUCAAAUUGCAUCAUCAAUCUUUGAAUAUAAAGACAUCCACAGCAGGCUUUAUCCAGCCAACUUCUUUGAGACUCUUUAUAGAGUUUGAAGUCUAGAGCAUAUACACUAAAAUAUUCAUACUUCGAAAAGCAAUAAAGUGGUAUUAUCAUUUUUCCAAAAGUUACAGCAGUAGUUUAGGCAUUCAUAGUAUGAUUUAGUUCACGAUUGCUACUGUUUCUAUUCUAUCACCAUAUUAACUGUUUCCUAUACAAUUCUGUAUUCAGCUGGAUUUCAGUUGAGCACAAAACCAUCCUUGUACUAGCUCUUUGCUAGUGUUAUUAUUCUGCUGUAGAAAGUAUCCUUGAACUGGAAACCGUCCACGAUCGAGUAUCGAGGCAUUCAACACUAUCAAUUCCUGGGUGACUUUUUGAAAAAGUAGUAUCUCUUGUUGCAAGAAAUGCUGCAUCUGUGAGUCCAUGUCUCUCACUGGAAUUGGAUGGAAGUGGUGAAUUUCAGCCAAAGUGGCCAAAGAAAUCCUGUUCCUGUGAUUCUGACGUCAUCAGCCUCUGCACCUCUGUCUUUCCUUCUGCCACAUGUUGCCUGCUCUCCAUGACUUUGGUAAGAGCUUCCUUGUGUAUGUGGAUGAUGUCCAGGAUGUUGGUCUGGUGUCCCUGAGACAGCACUAACAGGUCCAUGGCUGGGUCCAGGUCCUUCCUGGACUGACUGGCAAAGAGCUCACUGACAGAGUGGGAGGCAUCUAUACUGAAGUGGAUGGCCUGGUCCAGCUCCAAGGCCUGGCUGAGGCUGAAGAAGAACUGUCAGGCUUCUGAUGCUCUUUCUCAAAGCCUGCCACCACUCAUUGGCUGUGAAGUUGAGCUGAGUGCCCUGUUGUCCAUCUUCUUGGUGAAGCACUUGAAGCCGUCAAUCUUGCUCUUCCACUCCUAAAAGUUGAGUGUCACACUGGGGGUGGGCUCAGGGCCAGGAAGAAUCUGGCACUCACCAUCUCAUCCUUCUCAGCCUUCCUCUUGCCCUGUCUCCAGGCUAUCUCUUCAGUGCUGGUGGGGCACAUCAGGAAGUGACAAAAAAUGUGGCACUGCACCUGCAUCCAGAAGCUGGCUGUGUGGUUCAUCUACAAGAUUGGGCCCUUUCUGCACUUGAACAUAGAUCCACUUCACCAUAGAUGCCUUCCACACUGUCAGUGAGCUCUUUGCCCAUCAGCCCAGGCAGGAUCUGGACCCAGUCAUGGACCUGUUAGUGCUGUCUCAGGGACACCAGGCCAACAUUCUGGACAUCAUCCACAUACACAAGGAAGCUCUUACCAGAGUCCUCCUCAAGAUGGCCUGUGGUCUGCCUCUUGGCACCCGAGAAGCCCACAGUGCUGUAGAAGCCCCGAUGCUUGGACUAGAGCCCCAAAGGCGGCACACACCCCAGUUCUGAGCCUGCUGCUCAUUUCCUCUAUGUGGCUCCAUUUGCAGCACAUUUGUUGCACUGAGGCCUGUGCAUGCCAGGCAAAGCCAAGCUGGCUCAAAGAGCAACCACCCACCUCUGCAAGGGUGUGCCAGGAGCCAGUGGACCAGCCACCAACGUGACUCUCUGCCAGUCAGGGUAAAUCAUUUUUUCUGCCCUGGAGGUGGAGCCCCAGUGCCAUCUGCUUUUCCUCAGGCCUGCACUCCAUCAGCUGUCAGGUGGUGGUCACUCAGACUGUGGUAAACUGGCCAUCCCUAUUUCCUUGAGUGGGUGAGGUUGGUGACUGCUCCAUCUGCUCCUGGCACACCCUUGCAGAGGUGGCUGGUUGCUCUUUGAGCCAGCUUGGCCUUGCCUGGCAUGCACAGGCCCCAGGUACUGAGAAGCUGCUCCGAGUAAGUUUGUCUUGGGCCAAAUUCUAAGUCUGGCCAGGGCCACAGAAGGCCGAGUCCCAUGGGUGGUAAUCCUGGCUGCUGCAGGGGGGCCCAUGGUGCCCCUCCCCUCCCAGGGCUCAGGAUGAGGUCCGACUGGGACAGGAUGCUUUAGGUAUGGGACUUGUGCCCCAGGAGGGGACCUCUGUCACACACGUUGGGUGAGAAUAUGUAUGGCAUGCUGCUGGCUGCCAGGGCUGUUAGGAUGCACGUUCACCCUUACCUUCAGGGACCUCAAAGUGACCAGCUUCCGCUUUAUGAAUGACUUCCCAAGGCCCAGGAGCCAUUUGGGGCUGCAGAGCAGCUGGCUGCUAGCUGCCCUGGCUUCUUCCAUGUAGUGCUGGUCACUACCUACCAAGGGGGGUCAGAUGCAGGCACAAUGUAGGAUGAUUGUCUCUGGACCUGUGUCUUGGUUAUCAUGGAGCUAGACUGGGCCUGGUGACAGGGCCCUGAUGGGGUUGUCCUGUGUGGUCACGGAGGUGAUCAGAAAAGAUGCAGAAUGGAAUUGCUGCGAGGAUGAAUGAGAUGACUGUCAGCACAUAACAGGCAGCUGGUGAGUGUUCAGGGAUUACCCUCAGUAGCUGCCCAGAGGCCAAAACCAUCCACCUGAUAGUGACUUUUCCCAAACCAGGAGGAAGAGAAAAGAGCAGGUCCCACUCACCUGAAUCUGAUCAGUGAGCUGUGUUGAGAUGUGCCUCUCAUCUAGAAAAUGGUCCUUCACGCAGAGCUACUCACAGACACUGCUGUGUGUCUCUAACUGCUCCACAACACAGAGGCGAUGGGGACUCAGCAACAGUGACAUUGUGGGGUGACACAACCCACAACCAUGGGAGUCUGCUUGGGUCAACAGGGCCCAGAGUCAGUGUCCUCUAUCCCCUGAACUGACAUGUGUGUAUGCAAUGUAUUUGUGUAUGCAUGUGUGCCUGUGUGUGUGUGUGUGUGUGUGUGUGUGUGUGUGUGUAUGUGUCUUGCUUCUCUGGACAGGCCUAGCUUCUCCACUCAUGGGUGCACCCAGGUCCUCAUCACUGUCACCUUAGAGCAUUAGAGCCUCUAUAGUUGCUCCCCAAUCUCUACCCUCCCCACCCAUGGUGGUCCUGGGGAUGCAGACAGAGGAGGGGCACUGCAUAAUGCUGAGAGGCCUGGCACCCUCUCUAGGUGGAACACAGGUCAUUUGUAAAGUUGUAGGUCUGCCAAGCAGUAUUGGAUUCAACACAUCUUCUCACCUUCUCUUUCCAGCCACCCUCCAGGGUGCCCCAACUCACUUUCCCUGCAGAUGGAGGCAAGGAGCCUCCACAGACAACCCCCCUGCCUGAGGUCACAUAGUGGCCAGCAGGCCAGUUACUGACCAACUGCCCCUGACCAGGUUCCCAGUGAUGAGUGAUGAGGCCCCUAAUGACCACUCCUCCAUUGACCAGGUCCCACUGAUCAAGUCCCCACUGACCAUGUCUUCCUAACCAGGCCCACACUUAAUAGGCCUCAUGGGCCAGACCCCACUGACCAAUUUUCCACUGACCUGGUCCCCAUUGACAAGACCGGGUUCCCACUGACAAGACCACAAUUUACCAGGUUGCUGCUCACCCGACCCCCCACUGAACAAUUCUCCAUGAACGAGUACCCAGCUGACCGAGCCCCCUCUGACCAGGCCCUCACUGACCAGCCUCCAAGCCACUAAGGCCCCACACUGACCAGGCCAGUGAUAUAUUGUGUAUGCCCCACCAACCAGUUUUUCAUUGUUUAUGUUCCAACAGAUCAGGCCCCACUAAUAAAGCCACCACUGACUAGGUUCCCCCACUGACCAGGCUUCCUAUGGCUAGGUCACCAGGUCCCCACUGAUGAGGCCUUUACUGAGGAGGCCGCCACUAACCAGGCCCCUGCUGAUCAGGUCCCAAAUGACUAGGUCCUGAUGACCAGGUCAUCUCUGACCAUGGUCCACUGACCAGGCCCCGGAGCAACGGGGCUCAAAGUCUCAUUACAAUGUCCCCCUCAGCUCAUAGACCCUCCCUCCCUGCAUGUGUGCCCAGAGGUCAGGCCCUGGGGGUUUUUUUGGGACAUGGCCUUUCCUCCAAGACACAGGGAGAGACAGUUGGCCUCAGGCUCCAGGUUCCCAGCUCCACACUCACCCCAAAGGCCCUCUGGGCCCGUCUCAAAGGAGAAAGUGAGAUGGCCUGACACUGCCUGGACACACCAUCUACCCUAUUCCUGAGUGUCAGAGUGUGAGGAAGGGAGGGACAUUUAGCAGAUAAGGCACGCUGUGCUGUUGGGUCUCUCAGGGCCCUUCCCACAGAGCCCCGAUCUAAAGACACAACACAGAGGCUACAGGAAGACUAAUCCAGAACCUCUGAGACAGCCAGGGACCACAUGAGGACUCUCCCCAGACAGCCAGAAGGCCCUUUGCUAGUUUCUUGGUACCUCAGUGGAUGUGGCAGUGGUUCUUCUGUUGGGGACCAGUGAGUACACACUGGGGAGGGCUCACCUGUGCUUCCUCAGUGGCUCCACCUCUGCUUCUAAAAAAAAUUACUCAUUCCAGAGCUAGCGCAGAGAAAAUACAAGCUGAGCUUAGAACAUCUUCUGCCACAAAGUAAAAAAGUGCCGACAGAGUAAUGGAGACAAAUCAAAGAGACAUAAAGUCAGCUUGGAAUGUCUACUACUGGCCUAAUCUUGGGGAAUUGGAGCAUCAGAAUCAUGAGCUUUCCUUCUCCCUUAUUUAUUGGUUUUAUUUCUCCAUGUAGAACAAAGAAGAUAAUAAGAAAAUAAUCAUCUGGUAACCAUCAUAGUAAUAAUUGUUCAAACACAAGUCAUCCAUGAAAUGCUAAAUCUAGUGGGUUCUGAGGAGUAACCAGAUAUUUACAGAGCCUCAAAGUAUCUCCAUACAAAAUACGGUUGAACUACUAAAAGAAAAUUGUAACAUUAGCAUGGACAAACCUGAUGUGGCUUACCCGUGGAUUCCAGAGAAGAAAGUAGAUGGGAGCAAGUGUCCAAUACAGCAACAGCUGGAAAGAAAAAUAAAGAAUUUUGUUCUUUACCUAAAACACUUCAGUUAACUAAGUGUGAGUUUAAAAACUAAAGACUUGAGAACUUUAUCAGAGUUAAUAAGAACGAGAAAUAUGUAUGUACAUUUACAAUACAAAAUUACUAUUUAAUAAUUUACACAUGGCAUUAAUUCUAAUUGUGUUUAAAUAUCAGAGCUUUUUCAGGCUUCAUUCAUGUAAUCAACAGCCACAUGCUAAGGUACUCGAACCAGCAGUGGAAUUACAAGAUGAAGAUGGCAUGGUCCACCUCUCAACAGUCAUAAGCUAUAAUCUAAAAAACAGACAGGCAGGCAAUGUCUAUAUAGAGUCAUAUAUACCAUGACAGAUAUAGAGCAGGGCACUACUGGAACACAGAGAAGGGACAUCUACCCACUUUUAUGUCAAUAUCAUGGGCUUUCUGGUGGAGGAGAUAACAUAGGUUGAUACCUGAAGGACAAGGAAAAGCUUCCCAGAUAGAGGAAAGAGGCAAAGGCAAAGAGCCUGAGGUAAGGAAGAGCCCUGCAGAGUUCCACUCCAUCCAGUUUGGUGCUAGAGCAAAGGGCAGAGUGCAGUAAGCGGUGAGAAACAAGACUGAGUAACUUGACAAGAAUCACAUUGACAUGGGUGUUUUUAUUUCAUGGUGAAAAAUUUGGAACUUUUCCUGAGAACAAGUGUAAGCCAAUGACACAGUUAAUUAGAGGAGAUUUAAAAUGUCACCUGUCAAGUGACUGCUUAUGAAGGGUUAUUGCUCAGCUAAGUAUUUCUGAAUGAGUCUUAGGUCUGUUGGCCUUCAAUCUCUACCAAAACCCUGAGAACUUGAUGAUGCUUUUGUUUUCUGAGAAUCGUUUCAGUGUGCUGGCUGACAGUUCCAUGAGGAUGGCAAAACUUAAGAAAGUGUAGAGCCAAUGAAAAAGAGAUGCACAGACAUCUUGGGAACUGUUUAAGCUUUGGAACAUGAUGAAUUUAUGGUGCAUAAGUACAGUCUUCUCUGUGAAAGUUUUUGUUUUCACAUCUUUCAUUAGAUGUGUGUAAGAAAAAAAAUAUUGAUGUAGUAUCUACUAACCCAAGAAUGAAAAGGAAUGCCAUUUGCUAUUUACACUUUAUUUCUAAAAUAAACCUAAAUUUAAUUAAUAAAUUUUGUCAUCGUA